AGAGGGUGCGAGCGUUAAUCGGAAUUACUGGGCGUAAAGCGCACGUAGGUGGAUAAGUAAGUUGGAUGUGAAAGCCCUGAGCUUAACUUGGGAAUGCCAUCCAAAACUGUUUAUCUAGAGUAUGGUAGAGGAAUGUGGAAUUUCCGGUGUAGCGGUGAAAUGCGUAGAUAUCGGAAGGAACACCAGUGGCGGAGGCGACAUUCUGGACUAAUACUGACACUGAGGUGCGAAAGCGUGGGGAGCGAACAGGAUUAGAUACCCUGGUAGUCCACGCCGUAAACGAUGAGAACUAGCUGUUGGGAGCCUUUGAGCUCUUAGUGGCGCAGCUAACGCAAUAAGUUCUCCGCCUGGGAGUACGGUCGCAAGAUUA
rnacentral:rRNA from 1 species